UACGAAGGGGGCUAGCGUUGCUCGGAAUUACUGGGCGUAAAGGGCCAGUAGGCGGCCAACUAAGUCGGAUGUGAAAUCCCCAGGCUCAACUUGGGAACUGCAUCCGAUACUGGAUGGCUUGAAUUCGGGAGAGGGAUGCAGAAUUCCAGGUGUAGCGGUGAAAUGCGUAGAUAUCUGGAGGAACACCGGUGGCGAAGGCGGCAUCCUGGACCGACACUGACGCUGAGGAGCGAAAGCCAGGGGAGCAAACGGG
rnacentral:rRNA from 1 species